GGGGUGUUAGAAGAAUUAAAUAUUUGAAAAUGAAUUCUCCUUCACCCACGGAAGUUCACAGAAUUUCAUGAAGUUAUGAAGAAUAAGUUUGUGCAAAACCCUGUCAAUCACUGAUGACUUUUUUGAAAGCACAAAACUAAUGGUACAGAAAAUUUGAAGUCCAAUGGGAACAAAAGCAACAUCUGCUUUCUAAGAGCUAGGGAAAAUAAUCACCUGGAAGAACAGAAGACCAAAAAUAUUGAAAGAAUUAAAGAAAAAAGUGAAGGAAGAUGGCUUAGCUCUAUAGAAUCUCAAGUUGUAUUAUAAAGUGGCAACCAUCAAAACAAUCUGGGAC
rnacentral:lncRNA from 1 species